rnacentral:rRNA from 1 species
UACAGAGGGUGCGAGCGUUAAUCGGAAUUACUGGGCGUAAAGCGCACGUAGUCGGCUUUGCAAGUCGGUUGUGAAAUCCCCGGGCUCAACCUGGGAACUGCAUCCGAGACUGCAUUGCUAGAGUAUGGGAGAGGGAAGCGGAAUUUCUGGUGUAGCAGUGAAAUGCGUAGAUAUCGUAAGGAAGACCAGUGGCGAAGGCGGGUCUCUGGACAGUUCCUGACGCUGAGGCACGAAGGUCAGGGGAGCAAACGGG